UUUCUCCGCAGAAAUUUCUCAGUUUCUGAUUGAUGACAUCUUUGGUGCAGCCUAGGAUUUUUCUUAGUUAGCUGAAUCCUCUUGACUUUUGUACUUAUGGCUUUCAUUCCCAGUCUGUAUCUCCAGUCAUGGAGAUAAUCCAGUUCAUUUGCCAUGAUAUCUCAUUUCUGCUCCUUAUUGACAAUGGUCCUAACUUUGUUUUAGCAGUGCUCAUCUGUUCCUCGUGCCAGGGCAAUACAAAGAAAGUACUAAAAAGAUGGGUUUCAAGAAUAAAGUUGAUUCUUCCAUUUCAGAGCAUGCUUUAUCUUUUAGUCUUCCUCAGCCUCUGGUUGUGUUACUUGGGUGCCUCUAUGAAGUGGAUAUUCCUGCCUCAUUACCUCACACCAUCAAAUUUUACUGGAGUAUCAAAGAAAAUUAUUUUUUUUUCCCCCUUAAAUCAAGGUGCUUAGGAGGCAGA
rnacentral:lncRNA from 1 species